rnacentral:lncRNA from 1 species
GAUAAACAGCCCAGUAAAGAGGUGCACAGGGCAAGGUAUGGGGAUGGGGUGUGGAGCUUUGAUGCCCUCUCUGGGCACACCACCCUCUAGACACUCCCACGUGUUCAUCAACCCAGGAAGUUCUAAGCCCUGUCGUUCAGGGGUUUUUAUGGAGGUUUCAUUAUGCAGGCAUAAAUAAUUAUUAACACAAUCUCUAGCCCCUCUCCCCUUCCUGGAGGAUGGGGGUGGGGCUGAAAGUUCCAGGCUUCUAAUCCCAGCUCUGUUUCCAUCCAGGAGCCUCCAAGAGUUACCUCAUUAGAAUGAAAGAUGCUCUAGUCCCCCAGGAAAUUCUAAAGGAUUUAGGAACUCUGUAUCAGAAACCCGGGUCAAAGAUCAAGUAUUAGAACAAAGAUUUUCCCAACAUCUCUACUACUCAGGAAAUUGCAAGGGUUUGGGGAGCUCUGUGCCAGGAACCAGCUCUGUGUGUGUGUGUGUGUGUGUGUGUGUGUAUAUAUAUUUAUGAUGUCACAAGGGAAACUACAGGCAUUCUCCAUUUCUCCCCUAGAGUCUUGAAAUCCCAACCCUGAUCUACAUCAGGGCUUGAAGGUUUAGACAAAACCUCCUUUGGGGCACAACUGUGCUUAUUCUGCUGGGACAGGGUUGAUAACUGUGGACUUCAGAUCAGCAGCACAACCUCCUGUUUCAUCCCCUCUUCUCAGGGCACUCCUGUUCAGUCCCAGGACGCCUAGUUCGCAUCCCUGGAUUUCUCAGCCCUUGGCUCUGCCAUCCAUCAAAGCUCCAUGGUGGUCUCCUUUCCCUCUGCCUUCAAUGGAAAACCAGGUGAAGAUCGUUUCUUCCAACGAGUGCCCCUCAAAUGUGAGCAUUGCCUGCUAAGAAUGGAUUGCGAGGCCACUUAAAAGAAGUUUGCG